rnacentral:rRNA from 1 species
AUUGAACGCUGGCGGCAGGCUUAACACAUGCAAGUCGAGCGGAGAUGAGGUGCUUGCACCUUAUCUUAGCGGCGGACGGGUGAGUAAUGCUUAGGAAUCUGCCUAUUAGUGGGGGACAACAUUCCGAAAGGAAUGCUAAUACCGCAUACGUCCUAAGGGAGAAAGCAGGGGAUCUUCGGACCUUGCGCUAAUAGAUGCGCCUAAGCCGGAUGAGCUAGUUGGUGGGGUAAAGGCCUAACAAGGCGACGAUCUGUAACGGGUCUGAGAGGAUGCGCCUCCACACUGGGACUGAGACACGGCCCAGACUCCUACGGGAGGCAGCAGUGGGGAAUAUUGGACAAUGGGGGGAACCCUGAUCCAGCCAUGCCGCGUGUGUGAGGAAGGCCUUAUGGUUGUAAAGCACUUUAAGCGAGGAGGAGGCUACUGAGACUAAUACUCUUGGAUAGUGGACGUUACUCGCAGAAUAAGCACCGGCUAACUCUGUGCCAGCAGCCGCGGUAA